rnacentral:rRNA from 1 species
UACGUAGGGGGCGAGCGUUGUCCGGAAUUAUUGGGCGUAAAGGGCGCGUAGGUGGCCGAGUAAGUUAUCUGUGAAAUCCCAUGUUUUAAGCAUGGACGUGCAGGUAAAACUGCUUGGCUUGAGUGCAGGAGAGGGAAGCGGAAUUCCAAGUGUAGCGGUGAAAUGCGUAGAGAUUUGGAGGAACACCAGUGGCGAAGGCGGCUUUCUGGACUGUAACUGACACUGAGGCGCGAAAGCGUGGGGAGCAAACAGGAUUAGAUACCCUGGUAGUCCACGCUGUAAACGAUGGAUGCUAGGUGUGGGAGGUAUCGACCCCUUCCGUGCCGGAGUUAACGCAAUAAGCAUCCCGCCUGGGGAGUACGGCCGCAAGGUUGAA